rnacentral:SRP_RNA from 14 species
CAAUGUGUGGAUGCGCUACCUCUGAAGAGCUCGAAGCCUGCAAGGAUCUCACAGUGUAGGCUGUGACAUCCUGGCAGCUGAUGGCCUGGAAACUGGCUCAGGCUGGCAACAGAGCAAGCAAAACUGGGCACUUCGAGCAGUGCGGAGAC